GCAGAGCCAGCUUCAGUUAGCUCCAGUUUCAGCAUAGCAGCUUGCUGAAGGCUAUGAAAGGGUCGUGUUUUUUCCUGUCUGCCGUAUCCAUGUCAGGGGCCUGGAGAGCCAACUGACUCUCCUGUCAGACAUGGGAAGAAUUCCUUAUGUCCCGGAGCUUCCUGUUUUUGUUUUUGUUUUUUUUUCCUAUUUUAUCUCCCAUUGGCAAAAAUGUGCUGGUCACAGGCUCAGAGCUACGCUUCGGGACCGGAAGAGAUCAUCUCUAGAUGGCUGCAACUUCACAAGGUGUCAAGAAUCAAAGAUUCAGCAACCAAAAGUAACAUAAACCACAAUAAAUUAUUUGUUUGUGAAAAGUCAAGCAGGAAAUCAAACCUGGGAUACAAUCUCCAGGAACUGAACUUACUCUCUUAAUUCUUAUCUGUUCCUUCCCCUCUCUGAUUACAGCUUGUUGUACUGCAUAUCCCUCAUCUUUUGGCAACUAAGGGUGGAGUUAAAGGUUUCCCAGCAGCUCUUGGAAAUGCUAUAGAGAACAGAAUGAUUACAUGAAUCAAAACAUCAGAGAGAAACAAAAUACUUUUAAGAACAAAGAUGAAGCUUCUGUGGUCCAAUUUCUCUUGCCAGCAAAAUGUUCAAAGAAAAUUUACAAGAAACAAAGCUGGUUUUUGCUUCUGUUUUUUUUUGUUUGUUUGUUUGUUUGUUUGUUGUUUUGUUUUUGUUUUUGCAAAGUAACUGAUGUUCUUCAAAACAUAACAGGUUAUGGGAAAAAAAAAGCAUCAAGAUUUUUAUAUAUUUACAGAAAUGACGAAAAUAUUAAAAUAUUUAAAAUAUUGAUGAAAAUAUUGAUGAAA
rnacentral:lncRNA from 1 species